CUACGGGAUGCUGCAGCAGGGAAUAUUGCACAAUGGACGGAAGUCUGAUGCAGCGACGCCGCGUGGAUGAUGAAGGCCUUCGGGUUGUAAAAUCCUUUUCAGGGAGAAGAGGAAGGACGGUAUCCCUGGAAUAAGCGUCGGCUAACUACGUGCCAGCAGCCGCGGUAAUACGUAGGACGCAAGCGUUAUCCGGAUUUACUGGGCGUAAAGCGUCUGUAGGCGGUUUAGUAAGUUUGAUGUGAAAGCUCCAGGCUCAACUUGGAGAGUGCAUUGAAUACUGCUAGACUUGAGGGGAUCAGAGGAAAGCGGAAUUUCCGGUGUAGCGGUAAAAUGCGCAGAUAUCGGAAAGAACACCAGUGGCGAAGGCGGCUUUCUGGGAUCAACCUGACGCUGAGAGACGAAAGCUAGGGUAGCGAACAGGAUUAGAUACCCCUGUAGUC
rnacentral:rRNA from 1 species